CGCGUAGGCGGCCUGCUAAGUCGAACGUGAAAUCCCCGGGCUCAACCCGGGAACUGCGUCCGAUACUGGCAGGCUUGAAUCCGGGAGAGGGAUGUGGAAUUCCAGGUGUAGCGGUGAAAUGCGUAGAUAUCUGGAGGAACACCGGUGGCGAAGGCGGCAUCCUGGACCGGCAUUGACGCUGAGGCGCGAAAGCCAGGGGAGCAAACGG
rnacentral:rRNA from 1 species